AUACUUACCUUCAAAAUACCAUGAUCAUGAAAGUGAUUUUCCCAGGAUGAGACUUAUCCAUUGCAUUCUGGAUGUGCUGACCCCUGCAAUUUCUCCAAAUGUGGGAAACCCAACUGUGUAAUUUGUAUUAGUGGGGGAAUGUGUUCAUGCUCUCAAU